rnacentral:ncRNA from 1 species
UCAAGGUUGGCUGGGUCCCCUGGAACUUGUUGAUUCCAUGCGGGAGGGCUUAAUAAGUUCGUAACGCAUACAUUAUAGGAAGUUAUACGAAUAAACGAUGCCGCGCAGGGGUCGGCGGAUGUUGCUUAUAGCACGCCGCCGGCACCUUAUGAGAAAUCAAAGUCUUUGGGUUCCGGGGGGAGUAUGGUCGCAAGGCUGAAACUUAAAGGAAUUGACGGAAGGGC